rnacentral:rRNA from 1 species
UACGUAGGUGGCGAGCGUUGUCCGGAUUUACUGGGCGUAAAGCGCGCGCAGGCGGUUCUGUAAGUCCUGGGUGAAACUCGCCCGGCUACAACGUGGGCGGGGCCUGGGGACUGCGGGACUGGAGGGCCUAGAGGCCGGUGGAACUCCCGGUGUAGUGGUGAAAUGCGUAGAGAUCGGGAAGAACACCAGUGGCGAAGGCGGCCGGCUGGGGCGCCCUGACGCUGAGGCGCGAGAGCGUGGGAG